GUCCCGCGCGGCUGCGGACGGUUGGGGCCGUAACCGCCGGGGGGGUCAGCCCUGAGCCACAGGAACGUGCCGGCACUUCAUAUAUAGAAGAACAGAGCAGCUUUGCAAUGCAAGGAACAUUUCAUGGGAAACCUGGAGACAGGAAAGGCUGUCAGCAACUCCAGGAGGGAGCUGUGCAUUGGCUUGCUGAAUCUGUCUCUAAGGAGAUUUCAGAUUAAUCAACCAAGGCAAUCAGAAUGCCAGUCUCUGGGUAUAAAUAAUAAAUAUGUGAAAUCUCCAUGGACUCAGCUUUCCAGGGUGAUCAGCUAUAACCUCAUCUACAGCAAAUGAUUCCUGAUGGUCCUCACAGGAGAUGCAAGUACAACAUACUGUCUUUGCCUUGUUGCUGCUGUGGAAUACACCUGAGGGAAGAUCUCAAAUAUUCUGGUUCCACUCUCUAUCAGAAAGAUCUGAUAUUCUGGUUUCACUCUCUAAAGCAAAACUGGUCCUUGGCUUUAAGGAUCAGCUGUAAUCCUGCUGCAAGUCCACUGAACUUGUCCUCUGGCUGGAUGUGACUCAUGAAUACUUGGUACAUCACAAAACUGUGCCUUUGAAAAACUUUUUAAAAA